GGUAAGUGAUCGUGUUUGGUGAAGGUGUGCACUGAACUCCAAGUUGCAGCUUCCAGAAUAUCCUUGGUUGGCACUCCCCUAAGAAAGGCUGCUGAUGUAGCUGUAGCACUGGUGGAGUGGGACCUAAUGUUAGCAGGUACCGGUUUCCCAUGAUGCUUGU